UGGGGAAUUUUGGACAAUGGGCGAAAGCCUGACCCAGCAAUGCCGCGUGUGUGAAGAAGGCCUUCGGGUUGUAAAGCACUUUUGUCCGGAAAGAAAUCCUUGGCUCUAAUACAGUCGGGGGAUGACGGUACCGGAAGAAUAAGCACCGGCUAACUACGUGCCAGCAGCCGCGGUAAUACGUAGGGUGCAAGCGUUAAUCGGAAUUACUGGGCGUAAAGCGUGCGCAGGCGGUUUGCUAAGACCGAUGUGAAAUCCCCGGGCUCAACCUGGGAACUGCAUUGGUGACUGGCAGGCUAGAGUAUGGCAGAGGGGGGUAGAAUUCCACGUGUAGCAGUGAAAUGCGUAGAGAUGUGGAGGAAUACCGAUGGCGAAGGCAGCCCCCUGGGCCAAUACUGACGCUCAUGCACGAAAGCGUGGGGAGCAAACAGGAUUAGAUACCCUGGUAGUCCACGCCCUAAACGAUGUCAACUAGUUGUUGGGGAUUCAUUUCCUUAGUAACGUAGCUAACGCGUGAAGUUGACCGCCUGGGGAGUACGGUCGCAAGAUUAAAACUUAAAGGAAUUGACGGGGUCAUAGCUGUUUCCU
rnacentral:rRNA from 1 species